GAUGAACGCUGGCGGCGUGCCUAAUACAUGCAAGUCGAGCGAACGGACGAGAAGCUUGCUUUUCUGAUGUUAGCGGCGGACGGGUGAGUAACACGUGGAUAACCUACCUAUAAGACUGGGAUAACUUCGGGAAACCGGAGCUAAUAUCGGAUAAUAUUUUGAACCGCAUGGUUCAAAAGUGAAAGACGGUCUUGCUGUCACUUAUAGAUGGAUCCGCGCUGCAUUAGCUAGUUGGUAAGGUAACGGCUUACCAAGGCAACGAUGCAUAGCCGACCUGAGAGGGGGAUAGGCCACACGGGAACUGAGACACGGUCAAGACUCCGACGGGAGGCAGCAGUAGGGAAUCUUCCGCAAUGGGCGAAAGCCUGACGGAGCAACGCCGCGUGAGUGAUGAAGGUCUUCGGAUCGUAAAACUCUGUUAUUAGGGAAGAACAUAUGUGUAAGUAACUGUGCACAUCUUGACGGUACCUAAUCAGAAAGCCACGGCUAACUACGUG
rnacentral:rRNA from 1 species